rnacentral:rRNA from 1 species
CCUACGGGAGGCAGCAGUGGGGAAUCUUGCACAAUGGAGGAAACUCUGAUGCAGCGAUGCCGCAUGAGUGAAGAAGGCCUUUGGGUUGUAAAGCUCUUUUGUAGGGGAAGAUAAUGACUGUACCCUAAGAAUAAGGUCCGGCUAACUUCGUGCCAGCAGCCGCGGUAAUACGAAGGGACCUAGCGUAGUUCGGAAUUACUGGGCGUAAAGCGCGCGUAGGCCGUUGAGUUAGUUAAUUGUGAAAUCCCAAAGCUUAACUUUGGAACUGCAAUUAAAACUGCUCGACUAGAGUUUGAUAGAGGAAAGCGGAAUACAUAGUGUAGAGGUGAAAUUCGUAGAUAUUAUGUAGAACACCAGUUGCGAAGGCGGCUUUCUGGAUCAACACUGACGCUGAGGCGCGAAAGUAUGGGUAGCAAAGAGGAUUAGAUACCCUCGUAGUCCAUACCAUAAACGAUGAUUGCUAGAUGUUGGAAAUUUAUUUUCAGUAUCGCAGCUAACGCAUUAAGCAAUCCGCCUGGGGAGUACGACCGCAAGGUUAAAACUCAAAUGAAUUGACGG